CAAAGACUAGAUAGCUGUAGGUGCAUAAAUGAAUUAUAUUAUUUGAAAUGCACAAUAAUCCUAUUUGGUAAAUAUUAACACCCCAAUUUACAAGUUGAAAAAUUGAGACAGGACAGUUUUAGUGAUUUACUGAUGAUCAUAAGUAGCAGAGCUGAGCUUUAAACUUGUUAAAGCACACAGAGUCGUAACCACUACUCUACAUUGCCUGGAAGUAAGUAGUCACUUCUUUUGAUUUUCUUGAGAAAAUAGAUUAGAAAAUGGCUCAGUUGUUCUGUUUCCUGCAGCAAGGAUUUGGUAGAAGACUUUCAUGUUGAUUCCUCUGUAUGCUCCCUUGUCUUUGGACUUCAACACCUUUUCACAUAUCUAUGACCUGCCCCCUCCAAAGUUAUAUCCAUGGCUAGUGUUGCAAGCCAGUUUGGUUUUUCUCUCGGCUAUUGUGACCCCUGUUCAAAUACUCCAGACCUUGUAGACUGGGGAAGAAGGAAUCUGUGGGUUUAUUCUGGUCUUGUGUCAUACUUCAGACAUCCGGCAACUUGUGGAGAAAAGUGGGAAAUAAGAAUGGAAGAGUUGCAACCAAGAGGUCACCUUCUCUGCUCAAGGGUCUCUUUUCCACAUUUGACAUGGCAGCUGUAGUCUUUACCCAGCCCAACUGGUGGGUAAAGACUUUACAGGGCCCCUCUAACUGUGCAAUAGGGACUCCUAUUGCAAAUGAAAAUUGAGUAAGCAUCACUUUGGGUUUCCAGUUAGAUAUGUACUGUGCUGCCCGGCAUAUCUCCCAGGCAUAUCUCCCAGGUCUGAUGAGACUGAGAGGAAGUUCCCAAUUGACCCACAGCCUACACUUAUUUAAGAUUUUGCCUGUCUAAUUAGGGAAGGCUGGUGGAGUUUCACCACAGAGCCUCUGAGGCAAACCAUGACUUUUCAUGCAGGCAGUACAUCAUCAGGAUAGUCCUCAUCUUUGAUUCAGUUUCAUUUGCAGAAAUAUCCAAAAGUUUCAGGUGUGAAUCUAGAGUAUCUACUAUCCAGCAAAUAAUAUAGUUUGUCCUCUUUUUUUUUUUUAAUUCCGCUUUAAUAGGAAUCAAGAAAAGUUGUCUAGAAGAGUUAGAUACAUUUACUCAAAUUCGCUCUUUUACUCAGAAUUCUAAGUUACCAUUAGGUGAAAAUUACACUAUAACUUUUGAAAUUUUCCAGAUGCGGUGUUCUCAAGUUUCCAGUUAAUAGUUGCAUCCAUGUGAUGAGAGAGGACUUUGAGUUUUGGCAAGGCCCUUGCAAACACUGUUCAUAGAACUCCUGUAAAUUCAACAGAAGGCAUGAUUAGGAGGGUUUACUCCUGGCAGAUGUGGGGUCUUAGCAGAAGCACAGAAGGAAGAAGCUAGCUUCAACUGUCUGAAACUGGCUGUGUUGGAAAGGCUGUGCUGAGAUGAGCAAUCUAUUUAGAAUGACUGCUGCUCAUCUUUUUAACAAGAUAAUCAUCUGACAGCAACAUGGAAAAGCAGAUGUAGCAUUUUAAGGGAUAUACGGCUUUUUGAACUCCACAUGCUUUCAAACUCUGAUAUUAUUUCCAAUGAACCCUAAAGUCAAAGGAAUAAUCACUUUGAAAUUCUUGCACAAUGGGAAGCCCUGAAGGAAGCUGAACAUCUGAUUUUCACUAAAGGAGAAUCCUGAAAGCAAAGCAUCCUAUAAAUUGGAAUUUUUGCUUCCUCUGUUGUCUUCCAUAGGGUCUCUUGCCGCUUUGCUAAAUAUCAAAGAUAUUUAUGCUUAAACAAAUGUUGUCUCCCUCUCACUGCAUUCCCUCCUUCUGGCAGAGAAGUCAUCACACUGAAUCGGUGGCUCUUUCCCAUGGCAACAGACUGUGAUGUCAGAAAUGUGGUGCCAAGCAAUUAGAUUUUGUAGGUGCCACAGUUGGAAACAUGAAACUCCAAGGAUGAUGGUGAGACAGAGCAGUUGUUGUAGAAGAAAAAACUCAGGAAGGACUGAGUGUCUAAUGUGUUCUCUCAAAGGCCUGUUGCUGAAGGAGGGUGGCAGCAAAUGAAGUCGGAGAGGGGAAGAGGGAUACAGUGUUCAAGACAAGAUUUCAAAGGAGAAGCAAGUUGAUGAUGGAGAGUUGCAAAAGGCCACGUCCAGAUGGCUGGCACUCUGCCACGUGCCGUGGCUUUGAUGCUUUACAGGUGUUCUCUAAGGCGUCGAAGGCGGAAGCUCCAGGGACCUGCUGUCUGUCAUUGAAACAGCCAGAGGACUCAGGACCCAGAGAAAGAGCAAACUCCCUCUCCUUUCAUUCCCUUCCGCUCUUGUAGGAAUGUGGGAACUUUCACAGUUUUGCUGUUUUCAAGAAAACGGCACCUUGACAACAUGACCUUUGAGACCUACAAGCUGAGGGAGCUGUAGGGAGAAGGAUGAUCUGAGAUGGGCAACAAAAACCUUCCAAGAGGAGGCAAUGGGUGAGGACCCUUCAUGUUGCCAAUAGGAGCGAUCUGGGAAUAUUUUGAAAUGGACUUUUAAAAAAGCUGAGUCUGUUUUUUGGAGGUUCUUUGUCAAAUACACAAGAGAAUGAAACCCAUACCUGUGAAAAAUCAUAGAUGAAGUUUUAAAAUACACAUUUCAGUGAUACAGUAUGGAUAAAUUUGGACUGCAUAUGGCUUCUUAUGUAAAAGAAAAUUUCUUCUCCUUUUAGUAACACAUUGUCGGCUGCCUGUGCUUUGCACCUUCUGCCAUAAGCUCCUUAAAACAAGCUGCUGCAAUUCAAGAACUAGCCCUAGUAAUUAAGAUCAAAUGAGCCAGAUGAAGAAAAUGAGCUGGGUGAAACACAUGCCAGUGGAACCCAGCCUUUUCAUAUUUAAAAAGAGAGCCAGAAAAGAAAGAAAAACAGCUAUUUGUCGAUGGACUAUGUGGAGGAUUUAGAUGCAGUCUCUACUCAGGAUUAUUGUUAACAUUUAUACGUAUAUUUUAAAUGAUUCUGGGCUUGAUUGAUUAGCUCUUGUGAAAUACAGUGGAUGUGGGCCGGGCAUGGUGGCUCACGCCUGUAAUCCCAGCACUUUGG
rnacentral:lncRNA from 1 species